rnacentral:lncRNA from 1 species
AACCAAGACUGUCCUUUUCUUAGUGAGAGACAUAGCUGUUAGACUUUAGAAGCAUAGUCUCCUGCAUACCUUUUUUUUUUUUUUUUUUUUUCCUGUAUCAGUGAGACAUAUUUUACAGGAAAACACAGCAGUGAUUCAACUGAAAAGCUGAAGAAUGCCUUUUCUGCAGUCUGGUAGCUAGAUCAUUCUCAUGGGUGGUGGCAGAUGUAAAAGAGGACUUGUGUCUCCCACACGCUCUUUCUACAGACCCUGUAAUAAUGACUGCAGUGAUGCUCCUGAGUGUUGGUGA